GGCCCUCUUAUGAAUCAUCUAUGCCUCGAAGGAGUCUCCCCAUGGCGAAGCCUUAAAAAUAGCUUCAUCAGACCCUAUGGCUCUUCUCGGAGCUGAUCCACCAGCUGCUCUCCACCAUCACGCCAUCUCUAGAUGCUCCUGGGUCCCAGCGAGUAGGCCCGACAGCCUGACUUUCCUCUGUUCACCGGAGUGGGAUUGAUGAAGCACAUCCUGAACUGCCCAGUCCCAGGGGCCUCGUGGGUUCUCCCGGGACCACAUUCAACGGCCCCGUGGACGCCUCCCACUCCUCAGAUGCAGAUGCAGAGAACUGUGAUCCUGCUGACCCAACUACCUAAGGAAUACAAGUGAAUGCUGCUGCUGCUCACGGGUCUUAAAGGACUGGAACUGGAGCCCAUUCCCACUCAUUCACUCGCUUGGUUUUCAGUGGACAAUUCUGGGACCUCUCCUCUGGACAGCUGGCGUCCCACUGGAAUUUCCUAUCCUCCAUGUAAUAAAACUGUCACCAAGCUCAUGAAAAAUGAUCAGGAGCGCUUAUUAGAGGCAGAUUCAUGCUGCUUCCGAUGACCCCUCCCCACGUGGGGCUCCCUCCCCCGCUCCAUCCCUUCCUCCCCGGAACUGCCCCUCCGGGUCGGGAGCCCUCUGGGAUUCAGGGUUUUCCGUAUAAGGCUUCAGACCCCGGUUUCCUUCGUCCGAAAUUCACCAAGGAUACGUGCAGAGAUGCAGACGCAGUCCCAGGUUCCUGGGCGCCCAGCCCUUGGAGCGGAAGGAAAUCAGAGCCAGCGAAACGUCUGUGGGAGCGACGCGUUCCAGCUGAUCCUUGAGGAAAGGAAAUUCCUGCAGCUGGAAACAGCAGAGAUCUGGGGGCGGGGGCGCUGGAGCGAGAAGCCUGCCCGCCUCCUGGCAGAAGCCCGAAGAGGCCUCGAUUUACCGGCUGAGAUUGCAUCCACAGCUGGAGCUGGAGGUGAAGGGAAGGGGCCUUGCUCGCUGCCCUCGGAGUACACACAGGUCCUGUCAGGCCCCAGGUGCAGAGGCCCCUACCCCCUUCUCACCACACCCUCCUCCUCCUCCUCCCUACCCAUCACUCCGGACUAG
rnacentral:lncRNA from 1 species